AUGCAGUCCGCGUUCUGAAACUACUGUGAGAGACCUUUUCCCUUGCCAGAAGAUCCUCCUGCUCAGAUGCUGUUGGCCUGGUCCAGCCUGCUCCCAUCUCCAUGAGACUCUUUCUGUUCUUGCCGAGCUCCAGCCCUUGGUGGGGUCCAUCUUCCCUGAAUCCAGCCCUCUCAGUUGGUGGACAGGUCCCGGGCAAACCCAGCUGGAAUACAGCUCCCUGACCAGCUCUGCACACCCUGUGGGGAACUGACCAGAGAAACUCAUGAUACCUGAAGUCACCUCUUCUGAAUCACUGGUGUGAAAAGAGAAGCAACAUAUCUUUCAG